rnacentral:rRNA from 1 species
AAGCAUAUCAAUAAGCGGAGGAAAAGAAACCAACAGGGAUUGCCUUAGUAACGGCGAGUGAAGCGGCAACAGCUCAAAUUUGAAAUCUGGCCCUCGGGUCCGAAUUGUAAUUUGUAGAGGAUGAUUUUGGUGCGGUAUCUUCCGAGUUCCUUGGAACAGGACGCCUUAGAGGGUGAGAGCCCCGUACGGUUGAAUGCCUAGCCUCUGUAAAUCUCCUUCGACGAGUCGAGUAGUUUGGGAAUGCUGCUCUAAAUGGGAGGUAAAUUUCUUCUAAAGCUAAAUAUUGGCCAGAGACCGAUAGCGCACAAGUAGAGUGAUCGAAAGAUGAAAAGCACUUUGAAAAGAGGGUUAAAUAGCACGUGAAAUUGUUGAAAGGGAAGGAUUUGUGACCAGACUUUUUCUGGGCGGAUCAUCCGGGGUUCUCUCCGGUGCACUUUGCCCAGUAAAGGCCAGCAUCGAUUUUCGGCGGCGGAUAAAAGCAGUGGGAAUGUGGCUCCCUACGGGGAGUGUUAUAGCCCAUUGUAUAAUACGCUGCUGGGGAUCGAGGUACGCGCUUCUGCAAGGAUGCUGGCGUAAUGGUUAUCAAUCACCCGUCUUGAAACACGGACCAAGGAGUCGAACAUUUAUGCGAGUGUUUGGGUGUUAAACCCUCACGCGUAAUGAAAGUGAACGGAGGUGAGAGCCCGUACGGGUGCAUCAUCGACCGAUCCUGAAGUUUUCGGAUGGAUUUGAGUAAGAGCAUAACUGUUCGGACCCGAAAGAUGGUGAACUAUGCGUGGAUAGGGUGAAGCCAGAGGAAACUCUGGUGGAGGCUCGCAGCGGUUCUGACGUGCAAAUCGAUCGUCAAAUCUGCGCAUGGGGGCGAAAGACUAAUCGAACCAUCUAGUAGCUGGUUACCGCCGA